CAGCAGCCGCGGGAAUACGAAGGGUGCAAGCGUUACUCGGAAUUACUGGGCGUAAAGCGUGCGUAGGUGGUGGUUUAAGUCCGUUGUGAAAGCCCUGGGCUCAACCUGGGAAUUGCAGUGGAUACUGGGUCACUAGAGUGUAGUAGAGGAUAGUGGAAUUUCCGGUGUAGCAGUGAAAUGCGUAGAGAUCGGAAGGAACAUCUGUGGCGAAGGCGACUAUCUGGGCCAACACUGACACUGAGGCACGAAAGCGUGGGGAGCAAACAGGAUUAGAUACCCGAGUAGUCCCUGUCUCUUAUAC
rnacentral:rRNA from 1 species